AAUGGACGAAAGUCUGAUGCAGCAACGCCGCGUGGAGGAUGACACAUUUCGGUGCGUAAACUCCUUUUAUAUAGGAAGAUAAUGACGGUACUAUAUGAAUAAGCACCGGCUAACUCCGUGCCAGCAGCCGCGGUAAUACGGAGGGUGCAAGCGUUACUCGGAAUCACUGGGCGUAAAGAGCGUGUAGGCGGGUAUAUAAGUCAGAAGUGAAAUCCAAUAGCUCAACUAUUGAACUGCUUUUGAAACUGUAUACCUAGAAUGUGGGAGAGGUAGAUGGAAUUUCUGGUGUAGGGGUAAAAUCCGUAGAGAUCAGAAGGAAUACCGAUUGCGAAGGCGAUCUACUGGAACAUUAUUGACGCUGAGACGCGAAAGCGUGGGGAGCAAA
rnacentral:rRNA from 1 species